CGGAUUCACAACCCCUUUGCUGUGCUGCACCGUGAGUCAAGCCCCUCCGACAGCACGGAGCUGUCUCCCCACUCCAGGACUCCCGCCUGUCCUUCCCUCAGUCCCCUAGGACAGCUCUUCAGAGACGUGAGUAAAUCGUUAUCUGCCUGGAGACCAUUCUGUCCCAGCGCUUCCCACA
rnacentral:lncRNA from 1 species